rnacentral:rRNA from 1 species
AACCUUUAGCAAAACAAAUAUUAAAGGCAACGCCUGCCCAGUGAACAAUUAAACGGCCGCGGUACCCUAACCGUGCAAAGGUAGCAUAAUCACCUGUCUAUUAACUGUAGACCUGUAUGAAUGGCAAAAUGAGGGUCUAACUGUCUCUUAUAAUAAAUCAAUUAAACUGAUCUACCAGUACAAAAGCUGGUAUAUUAACAUAAGACCAGAAGACCCUGUGAAGCUUAAAUCAAACUAUUAAAUCAUAUAGUAGCUACUUUCGGUUGGGGCGACCUUGGAAACAAAAAGAACUUCCAAAUACGUGGCCUAAUCCCACAAACUAAGGCUUACAAGCCAAUAACAGACCCAGUUAUAACUGAUCAAUGAACCAAGUUACUCCAGGGAUAACAGCGCUAUCUUCUUCAAGAGCCCAUAUCAAAAAGAAGGUUUACGACCUCGAUGUUGGAUCAGGACAUCCUAUUGGUGCAGCCGCUAUUAAAGGUUCGUUUGUUCAACGAUUAAUAGUCCU